GACUGAGUAAACUCUGAAACUAAGCGCUAAUUUAAACAGUGGAAGUGGUACAAAGGUCAGACAGAUCAUGGAACCUCAUCUCAUCUGAUUAACUUCUUUUUAAAGUUCAAGGUGUCUGAUCACAAGGGCGCUGCAUAUGAGCAACAUCAGCAAGCAGGCUAAGUCAGCCAAGGUGUAAAUGCCAGAAUCAGAAUCGGUGGGUCUGAUGAUGAGACCCUGGCUAAGUACAGUGUGUCUGGGACCGGUAAGGAGGAUGCUUUCAGAGAGGUGCCAGCUGAUCGGGAGGUUUGUCUCAGGGGAACAUGGGAGGAACUGCACUAACCCAGGGAUGAGGUAGACAACAGCAGGAGAGCUGGAGAAAGUUGACUGGCUGAGGAGUUUGAAACAGCUGCAGCUCCUCGAUGACGCGGCCGUCCUCACCAUCAAACCUCACUGCCUUCUGCAGCCAACCAGAGUCUGAGGGAGAAAAAUGAAGCCAGUUCAUCUGUCAAUACACCUUG